ensembl:lncRNA
ACUCACCGUGGGCACCAAGUGCGGUGGGCACCAGGGCCUGGCUUGGCCUUUUCUGAGCUCUGCUUCUUCCACCAGGAUCCUGGAUCUGGGAUCCAGUCAUUUACUACCGUCAAUAAGUUUCCUCAAAUUGCAGCUGGCUUUCUACAAAAGAGAUGACCCCAUCUAGUAGCCUUCAUCUUGAAUUCAGGAAAGCUGAGCAUCCUACUUUUCCUAGAGUCAAAACAGAGAUGCUAAUUGGCUGCUGGUGAAAUGUCUGGCUUCUCCUCCAAGGGCUGGUUGAGAAAGUGGCCAGAGAAGGAGGCAGAUUCCAAGGGCAAGCUGAAGUUCUCAAGACAAGGAGGCACCAGGAGACCACUAGGAAUCACGAAUCAACAUCCGCUCUUCCAAAGAAGUCUCUUGUUUUUUGCACGCAAACUUCGCUGCUGGUCCUCAGGGACUCGACAGGGAAGCUGCCCUCCACGUGACAGCUCUGUGCUGGAGUCUGUGUCAACACCAACUGGCCAGAUCACAACUAAACGGGGGAGAGAGUGCCGGGAAGUCCACUACUAUCAAACGUUUCUGCCCCCAGAACGAAGAAACGUUACACCGGGAGGCCGCUGGGCCCCCAAGCCUGGGGAAUAGAAAGCAGAUGUUGUCCUCGAUGCGUAAGCCCUCGCAGUCUCGCUGCAGCCUCCUGUGCUGUGUCUUCGUGGAAGAAGUGCAAUCCUCAUUUCAGACUCCACAAAGCAAAGGGACUGCAGGAGAAAAAGCUCAUGGGCUAGAGUGCUUUACCAGGUGCCAGCCCCCUAAACAGAUUUCCCCUUACUUCUCC